rnacentral:rRNA from 1 species
AUUGAACGCUGGCGGCAUGCUUUACACAUGCAAGUCGAACGGUAACAGGCCGCAAGGUGCUGACGAGUGGCGAACGGGUGAGUAAUGCAUCGGAACGUGCCCAGUCGUGGGGGAUAACGCAGCGAAAGCUGUGCUAAUACCGCAUACGAUCUGUGGAUGAAAGCGGGGGACCGUAAGGCCUCGCGCGAUUGGAGCGGCCGAUGUCAGAUUAGGUAGUUGGUGGGGUAAAGGCUCACCAAGCCGACGAUCUGUAGCUGGUCUGAGAGGACGACCAGCCACACUGGGACGGAGACACGGCCCAGACUCCUACGGGAGGCAGCAGUGGGGAAUUUUGGACAAUGGGCGCAAGCCUGAUCCAGCAAUGCCGCGUGCGGGAAGAAGGCCUUCGGGUUGUAAACUGCUUUUGUACGGAGCGAAAAGGCUCUCUCUAAUACAGGGGGCUCAUGACGGUACCGUAAGAAUAAGCACCGGCUAACUACGUGCCAGCCGCCGCGGUAAAAC